GAUGAACGCUGGCGGCGUGCCUAACACAUGCAAGUCGAACGGGGUGAAGGGAAAUUUUCGGAUGGAACUUAACUUAGUGGCGGACGGGUGAGUAACGCGUGGAUAACCUGCCUCACACUGGGGGAUAGCAGCUGGAAACGGCUGGUAAUACCGCAUAAGACCACAGCACCGCAUGGUGCAGGGGUAAAAGAUUUAUCGGUGUGAGAUUGAUCCGCGUAUGAUUAGCCAGUGGGCGGGGUAACGGCCCACCAAAGCGACGAUCAGUAGCCGCCCUGAGAGGGUGAACGGCCACAUUGGGACUGAGACACGGCCCAAACUCCUACGGGAGGCAGCAGUGGGGAAUAUUGCACAAUGGGCGCAAGCCUGAUGCAGCAACGCCGCGUGAGUGAAGAAGUAUUUCGGUAUGUAAAGCUCUAUCGGCAGGGAAGAAAGGCCCAUAACAGGGAGAUGACGGUACCUGACUAAGAAGCCCCGGCUAACUACGUGCCAGCCGCCGCGGUAAUAC
rnacentral:rRNA from 1 species